rnacentral:rRNA from 1 species
AUGGGCCAUCUUCUCCUGCUCCUACUGGCCCUCCUCCUCGCUUCCACCCGCGCCGCCUUCCACGCCAGCGCCGCCGCCUUCGCCGAGGACAAGGGCAUUGCGGGGAUCAGGGGCGUGAUAGGGUCGAGGCCGCCGAGCUGCGCGGGGAGGUGCCGGUCCUGCGGGCACUGCGAGGCGGUGCAGGUGCCCAUUUCUCCACAUGAGCUGCAGAAGAGGAAGAAGAAGGAGAAAGAGCUUGGGCGCCAUGGCGGCCGUGCUGCUGCAUCCGGUGGUGGGAGAGCAAUGCCGUCCUCCUACGACGACCACUCCAACUACAAGCCGUUGAGCUGGAGGUGCAAGUGCGGGCGCUUGAUACUGAGCCCAUGA